rnacentral:rRNA from 1 species
UGGGUUUGACAUGCAGAGAAAAGCUGUAGAGAUAC